rnacentral:misc_RNA from 1 species
GGGAUCUGAGACAGAACCAGAGCUAAGCUCCACACCAAGAUUACCAUUACUCUUGAACCAACAUGCACAUGCAUAUAUGCAGUCACCACAGAGGUCAGGGACGCUAACCCCGCCACUCUACGCCUCAGCCUCUGUACCGUUUCGUUGGGAGGAAGAGCCUGGCAAGCCCAGAAGCUGUACUGCUCUCUCCAAUCCCAUUGACUCUAGCCCCAAGUGCCUGGAGCUACCUCCAAGGUUGCUCUUG